GAUGAAGAACGUAGCGAAAUGCGAUAAGUAGUGUGAAUUGCAGAAUUCAGUGAAUCAUCGAAUCUUUGAACGCACAUUGCGCCGCUUGGUAAUCCAUGGGGCAUGCCUGUUCGAGCGUCAUUUGUACCUUCAAGCUCUGCUUGGUGUUGGGUGUUUGUCUCGCCUCUGCGUGUAGACUCGCCUCAAAACAAUUGGCAGCCGGCGUAUUGAUUUCGGAGCGCAGUACAUCUCGCGCUUUGCACUCAUAACGACGACGUCCAAAAGUACAUUUUUACACUCUUGACCUCGGAUCAGGUAGGGAUACCCGCUGAACUUAAGCAUAUCAAUAAGCGGAGGA
rnacentral:misc_RNA from 1 species